CCUACGGGUGGCUGCAGUCGAGAAUCAUUCACAAUGGGGGAAACCCUGAUGGUGCGACGCCGCGUGGGGGAAUGAAGGUCUUCGGAUUGUAAACCCCUGUCAUGUGGGAGCAAAUUAAAAAGAUAGUACCACAAGAGGAAGAGACGGCUAACUCUGUGCCAGCAGCCGCGGGAAUACAGAGGUCUCAAGCGGUGUUCGGAAUCACUGGGCGUAAAGCGUGCGUAGGCUGUUUCGUAAGUCGUGUGUGAAAGGCGCGGGCUCAACCCGCGGACGGCACAUGAUACUGCGAGACUAGUGGAAUGGAGGGGGAACCGGAAUUCUCGGUGUAGCAGUGAAAUGCGUAGAUAUCGAGAGGAACACUCGUGGCGAAGGCGGGUUCCUGGACAUUAACUGACGCUGAGGCACGAAGGCCAGGGGAGCGAAAGGGAUUAGAUACCCCUGUAGUC
rnacentral:rRNA from 1 species